rnacentral:rRNA from 1 species
AGGACGAACGCUGGCGGCGUGCCUUAUGCAUGCAAGUCGAACGGGUUACCCGCAAGGGUAGCUAGUGGCAGACGGCUGAGUAACACGUGAGCAACCAACCUUUGAGUGGGGAAUAAGCCGCCGAAAGGUGGUCUAAUACCGCAUACGCUUGCUCCUCGCAUGGGGAGCACGGAAAGCCGAAAGGCGCUCUUAGACGGGCUUGCGGCCUAUCAGGUAGUUGGUGAGGUAACGGCCCGCCAAGCCGAAGACGGGUAACUGGUCUGAGAGGACGGCCAGUCAGAAGGGGACUGAGACACGGCCCCUACUCCUACGGGAGGCAGCAGCAGGGAAUCUUGCACAAUGGGCGAAAGCCUGAUGCAGCGACGCCGCGUGAGGGAUGAAGGCCUUCGGGUCGUAAACCUCUUUUCCGAGGGGAAGAGAUAGGACUGUACCGUUGGGAAUAGCCUCGGCUAACUACGUGCCAGCAGCCGC